rnacentral:rRNA from 1 species
UACGGAGGGUGGCAAGCGUUAUCCGGAUUCACUGGGUUUAAAGGGUGCGUAGGUGGCGGGGUAAGUCUGGUGUGAAAUCCUGGGGCUCAACCCCGGAACUGCACUGGAUACUGCUUUGCUAGAGUACUGGAGAGGGAACUGGAUUACGGUGUAGCAGUGAAAUGCGUAGAGAUGUGGAGGAACACCGGUGGCGAAGGCGGGUCUCUGGGCCGAUACUGACGCUGGAGGAGCGAAAGCGUGGGGAGCGAACAGG